UACGAAGGGGGCGAGCGUUGUUCGGAAUCACUGGGCGUAAAGGGCGCGUAGGCGGCCCUCUUAGUCGCGUGUGAAAGCCCCGGGCUCAACCUGGGAACGGCGCGCGAAACGGGAGGGCUGGAGUUCGGGAGAGGAGAGUGGAAUUCCCAGUGUAGAGGUGAAAUUCGUAGAUAUCGAGAGGAACACCGGUGGCGAAGGCGGCCAACUGGACAGAUACUGACGCUGAGACACGAAAGCGUGGGGAGCAAACAGG
rnacentral:rRNA from 1 species